rnacentral:rRNA from 1 species
GGGCCCGCACAAGCGGUGGAGUAUGUGGUUUAAUUCGAUGCAACGCGAAGAACCUUACCAGGGUUUGACAUCCUGCGAAUCUCUUGGAAACUUGAGAGUGCCUUCGGGAGCGCAGUGACAGGUGGUGCAUGGCUGUCGUCAGCUCGUGUCGUGAGAUGUUGGGUUAAGUCCCGCAACGAGCGCAACCCUCACUUUUAGUUGCCAUCAUUAAGUUGGGCACUCUGAAAGAACUGCCAGUGAUAAGCUGGAGGAAGGUGGGGAUGACGUCAAGUCCUCAUGGCCCUUACGUGUUGGGCUACACACGUGCUACAAUGGUAUCUACAACAGGAAGCAAAACGGCGACGUUAAGCAAAUCCUUAAAAGAUACCUCAGUUCGGAUUGCACUCUGCAACUCGAGUGCAUGAAGCUGGAAUU